rnacentral:rRNA from 1 species
CCAGACUCCUACGGGAGGCAGCAGUGGGGAAUAUUGCACAAUGGGGGAAACCCUGAUGCAGCGACGCCGCGUGAGUGAAGAAGUAAUUCGUUAUGUAAAGCUCUAUCAGCAGGGAAGAAAAUGACGGCACCUGAGUAAGAAGCCCCGGCUAACUACGUGCCAGCAGCCGCGGUAAUACGUAGGUGGCAAGCGUUGUCCGGAUUUACUGGGUGUAAAGGGCGUGUAGCCGGGCCGGCAAGUCAGAUGUGAAAUCCCAAGGCUCAACCUUGGAACUGCAUUUGAAACUGUCGUUCUUGAGUACUGGAGAGGUUGACGGAAUUCCUAGUGUAGCGGUGAAAUGCGUAGAUAUUAGGAGGAACACCGGUGGCGAAGGCGGUCAACUGGACAGCAACUGACGCUGAGGCGCGAAAGCGUGGGGAGCAAACAGGAUUAGAUACCCCUGUACC